UACGGGGGGGGCAAGCGUUGUUCGGAAUUACUGGGCGUAAAGGGCUCGUAGGUGGCCAACUAAGUCAGACGUGAAAUCCCUCGGCUUAACCGGGGAACUGCGUCUGAUACUGGAUGGCUUGAGUUUGGGAGAGGGACGGCGGAAUUCCUGGUGUAGCGGUGGAAUGCGCAGAUAUCAGGAAGAACACCAAUAGCGAAGGCAGCU
rnacentral:rRNA from 1 species